GAUGAACGCUGGCGGCGUGCCUAAUACAUGCAAGUCGAGCGAACAGAUGAGGAGCUUGCUCCUCUGACGUUAGCGGCGGACGGGUGAGUAACACGUGGAUAACCUACCUAUAAGACUGGGAUAACUUCGGGAAACCGGAGCUAAUACCGGAUAAUAUAUUGAACCGCAUGGUUCAAUAGUGAAAGACGGUUUUGCUGUCACUUAUAGAUGGAUCCGCGCCGCAUUAGCUAGUUGGUAAGGUAACGGCUUACCAAGGCAACGAUGCUUAGCCGACCUGAGAGGUUGAUCGGCCACACUGGAACUGAGACACGGUCCAGACUCCUACGGGAGGCAGCAGUAGGGAAUCUUCCGCAAUGGGCGAAAGCCUGACGGAGCAACGCCGCGUGAUUGAUGAAGGUCUUCGGAUCGUAAAACUCUGUUAUUAGGGAAGAACAAAUGUGUAAGUAACUAUGCACGUCUUGACGGUACCUAAUCAGAAAGCCACGGCUAACUACGUG
rnacentral:rRNA from 1 species